rnacentral:rRNA from 1 species
GAUGAACGCUAGCUACAGGCUUAACACAUGCAAGUCGAGGGACCGGCGCACGGGUGAGUAACACGUACCCAACCUGCCCUUUACUCGGGGAUAGCCUUUCGAAAGAAAGAUUAAUACCCGAUAUAAAGGAUGGGGAUGCGUUCCAUUAGGUUGUUGGUGAGGUCACGGCUCACCAAGCCUUCGAUGGAUAGGGGUUCUGAGAGGAAGGUAACCUACAAUGGAACUGGGACACGAGCCAAACUCGGACGGGAGGCAGCAGUGAGGAAUAUUGUGCGAUGGGUGCUAUCCUGAACCAGCCAAGUAGCGUGAAGGAUGAAGGCUUAUAGGGCGUAGACUUCUUUUAUAUAAGAAUAUGUAUUAUAUGAAUAAGGAUCGGCUAACUCCGUGCCAGCCGCCGCGGUAAUUC